rnacentral:rRNA from 1 species
CCUACGGGAGGCAGCAGUGGGGAAUAUUGGACAAUGGGCGCAAGCCUGAUCCAGCAAUGCCGCGUGAGUGAUGAAGGCCUUAGGGUCGUAAAGCUCUUUUACCAGGGAUGAUAAUGACAGUACCUGGAGAAUAAGCUCCGGCUAACUCCGUGCCAGCAGCCGCGGUAAUACGGAGGGAGCUAGCGUUGUUCGGAAUUACUGGGCGUAAAGCGUACGUAGGCGGUUAUUCAAGUCAGAGGUGAAAGCCCGGGGCUCAACCCCGGAACGGCCUUUGAAACUAGGUAGCUAGAAUCUUGGAGAGGUCAGUGGAAUUCCGAGUGUAGAGGUGAAAUUCGUAGAUAUUCGGAAGAACACCAGUGGCGAAGGCGACUGACUGGACAAGUAUUGACGCUGAGGUACGAAAGCGUGGGGAGCAAACAGGAUUAGAUACCCUGGUAGUCCACGCCGUAAACGAUGAUAACUAGCUGUCCGGGCACUUGGUGCCUGGGUGGCGCNGCUACGCAUUAAGUUAUCCGUCCGUGGGAGGUACGGUCGCGAGAGUAAACUACAAAGAGUAGUAGUAACGGUGUGAGAGUCGACGACGACGACGACGGAGGAGGAGG